CUAUCCACUUACCUCGGUGAAAUUCAUAAAACAACAUACGAAAGCAAUAACAUUAUCAUCAUCAUGAAAUCAUAUGAACUGUAUAACAUAAUACUUAUCACGCCCUUUUGCAAUUCCAUCAUUACACAACAUAUUUUUCCUCAUUUACCAGCCUACUAGUAUCUAUGGGGAUCCAUAGGGGUCCCGCUACCCGUGAACCCUUAACACUUGUAAUCAGAUUCCAGGGCCGUCCCCAUACCCCGUCCGGUAUGGGCG
rnacentral:lncRNA from 1 species